rnacentral:rRNA from 1 species
GAUGAACGCUGGCGGCGUGCUUAACACAUGCAAGUCGAACGGGAAACCUUUUAAUGAAGCUUCGGCAGAUUUGGCUGGUUUCUAGUGGCGGACGGGUGAGUAACGCGUGGGUAACCUGCCUUAUACAGGGGGAUAACAGUCAGAAAUGACUGCUAAUACCGCAUAAGCGCACAGGACCGCAUGGUCCGGUGUGAAAAACUCCGGUGGUAUAAGAUGGACCCGCGUUGGAUUAGCUUGUUGGUGGGGUAACGGCUCACCAAGGCGACGAUCCAUAGCCGGCCUGAGAGGGUGAACGGCCACAUUGGGACUGAGACACGGCCCAGACUCCUACGGGAGGCAGCAGUGGGGAAUAUUGCACAAUGGGGGAAACCCUGAUGCAGCGACGCCGCGUGAAGGAAGAAGUAUCUCGGUAUGUAAACUUCUAUCAGCAGGGAAGAUAGUGACGGUACCUGACGAAGAAGCCCCGGCUAACUACGUG